UACGGAGGUGGCAAGCGUUGUUCGGAAUUACUGGGCGUAAAGGGCGCGUAGGCGGCAAGGCAAGUCAGGUGUGAAAGCCCCGGGCUUAACCCGGGAAUUGCAUCUGAAACUGCUGUGCUUGAGUUCUGGAGGGGGUAGUGGAAUUCCCAGUGUAGCGGUGAAAUGCGUAGAUAUUGGGAGGAACACCUGCGGCGAAGGCGGCUACCUGGACAGAAACUGACGCUGAGGCGCGAAAGCUAGGGGAGCGAACGGGAUUAGAUACCCCGGUAGUCCUAGCUGUAAACGAUGGGCACUUGGUGUUGGGGGUAUUGAGUCCCCCAGUGCCGGAGUUAACACGUUAAGUGCCCCGCCUGGGGAGUACGGUCGCAAGACUGAA
rnacentral:rRNA from 1 species